AACGAACGCUGGCGGCAUGCCUAACACAUGCAAGUCGAACGAGACCUUCGGGUCUAGUGGCGCACGGGUGCGUAACGCGUGGGAACCUGCCCUUAGGUUCGGAAUAACUCCCCGAAAGGGGUGCUAAUACCGGAUAAUGUCUUCGGACCAAAGAUCUAUCGCCUUUGGAUGGGCCCGCGUUGGAUUAGCGAGUUGGUAGGGUAAAAGCCUACCAAGGCGACGUUCCAUAGCUGGUCGGAGAGGAUGAUCAGCCACACUGGGACUGAGACACGGCCCAGACUCCUACGGGAGGCAGCAGUGGGGAAUAUUGGACAAUGGGCGAAGGCCUGAUCCAGCAAUGCGGCGUGAGUGAUGAAGGCCUUAGGGUUGUAAAGCUCUUUUACCCGGGAUGAUAAUGACAGUACCGGGAGAAUAAGCUCCGGCUAACUCCGUG
rnacentral:rRNA from 1 species